UACGUAGGGUGCAAGCGUUGUCCGGAAUUAUUGGGCGUAAAGAGCUCGUAGGCGGUUCGUCGCGUCGGCUGUGAAAUCCCGAGGCUCAACCUCGGGUCUGCAGUCGAUACGGGCGGACUGGAGUUCGGCAGGGGAGACUGGAAUUCCUGGUGUAGCGGUGAAAUGCGCAGAUAUCAGGAGGAACACCGGUGGCGAAGGCGGGUCUCUGGGCCGAUACUGACGCUGAGGAGCGAAAGCGUGGGGAGCGAACAGGAUUAGAC
rnacentral:rRNA from 1 species